rnacentral:rRNA from 1 species
UACAGGAGGGUGCAAGCGUUGUUCGGAAUUAUUGGGCGUAAAGGGCGCGCAGGCGGCCUUAGAAGUCAGAUGUGAAAGCCCCGGGCUCAACCUGGGAAUGGCAUUUGAUACUCUGAGGCUGGAGUACGGGAGAGGAGAGUGGAAUUCCCAGUGUAGAGGUGAAAUUCGUAGAUAUUGGGAAAGAACACCGGUGGCGAAGGCGGCUCUCUGGACCGUAACUGACGCUGAGGCGCGAAAGCGUGGGGAGCAAACAGGAUU